AACGAACGCUGGCGGCAUGCCUAACACAUGCAAGUCGAACGAGACCUUCGGGGCUAGUGGCGCACGGGUGCGUAACGCGUGGGAACCUGCCCUUAGGUUCGGAAUAACUCCCCGAAAGGGGUGCUAAUACCGGAUAAUGUCUUCGGACCAAAGAUUUAUCGCCUUUGGAUGGGCCCGCGUUGGAUUAGCUAGUUGGUAGGGUAAAAGCCUACCAAGGCGACGAUCCAUAGCUGGUCUGAGAGGAUGAUCAGCCACACUGGGACUGAGACACGGCCCAGACUCCUACGGGAGGCAGCAGUGGGGAAUAUUGGACAGUGGGCGAAAGCCUGAUCCAGCAAUGCCGCGUGAGUGAUGAAGGCCUUAGGGUUGUAAAGCUCUUUUACCCGGGAUGAUAAUGACAGUACCGGGAGAAUAAGCUCCGGCUAACUCCGUG
rnacentral:rRNA from 1 species